UACGUAGGGUGCAAGCGUUGUCCGGAAUUAUUGGGCGUAAAGAGCUCGUAGGCGGUCUGUCACGUCGGCUGUGAAAUCCCGAGGCUCAACCUCGGGUCUGCAGUCGAUACGGGCAAACUAGAGUAUUGCAGGGGAGACUGGAAUUCCCGGUGUAGCGGUGAAAUGCGCAGAUAUCAGGAGGAACACCGAUGGCGAAGGCAGGUCUCUGGGCCACUACUGACGCUGAGAAGCGAAAGCAUGGGGAGCGAACAGG
rnacentral:rRNA from 1 species